CUCUGUUUCGAAAGUUGCAGGGCGGAAGGAG
ncrna:Niallia nealsonii AAT1 L31-Firmicutes ribosomal protein leader